AAUAAAAUAACAUUUGUACCGCAGACAGCAGGGGCUUAUAGCUUAAUAACCUGCCGAGGUCAUACGAUAGAGCAACACUUUUACUAUUGUAUACUUCCUCCGUGUCUGUCAUAGAUGCGGAGGUUUUUAUUUGAUCGG
rfam:Bacillus selenatarsenatis SF-1 DNA, contig: BSSF00070.